UACGAAGGGUGCAAGCGUUACUCGGAAUUACUGGGCGUAAAGAGCUUGUAGGCGGUUUGUCGCGUCUGCCGUGAAAAUUCGAGGCUCAACCUCGAACUUGCGGUGGGUACGGGCAGACUAGAGUGUGGUAGGGGAGACUGGAAUUCCUGGUGUAGCGGUGAAAUGCGCAGAUAUCAGGAGGAACACCGAUGGCGAAGGCAGGUCUCUGGGCCACUACUGACGCUGAGAAGCGAAAGCAUGGGGAGCGAACAGG
rnacentral:rRNA from 1 species